rnacentral:rRNA from 1 species
AGUGAACGCUGGCGGUAGGCCUAACACAUGCAAGUCGAACGGCAGCACAGUAAGAGCUUGCUCUUACGGGUGGCGAGUGGCGGACGGGUGAGGAAUACAUCGGAAUCUACUUUUUCGUGGGGGAUAACGUAGGGAAACUUACGCUAAUACCGCAUACGACCUACGGGUAAAAGCAGGGGAUCUUCGGACCUUGCGCGAUUGAAUGAGCCGAUGUCGGAUUAGCUAGUUGGCGGGGUAAAGGCCCACCAAGGCGACGAUCCGUAGCUGGUCUGAGAGGAUGAUCAGCCACACUGGAACUUAGACACGGUCCAGACGCCUACGGGAGGCAGCAGUGGGGAAUAUUGGACAAUGGGCGCAAGCCUGAUCCAGCCAUACCGCGUGGGUGAGGAAGGCCUUCGGGUUGUAAAGCCCUUUUGUUGGGAAAGAAAAGCAGCAGGUUAAUACCCCGCUGUUCUGACGGUACCCAAAGAAUAAGCACCGGCUAACUUCGUG